UACGUAGGGGGCUAGCGUUGUCCGGAAUCAUUGGGCGUAAAGAGCGUGUAGGCGGUCCGGUAAGUCCGCUGUGAAAGUCGGGGGCUCAACCCUCGAAUGCCGGUGGAUACUGUCGGGCUAGAGUGCGGAAGAGGCGAGUGGAAUUCCUGGUGUAGCGGUGAAAUGCGCAGAUAUCAGGAGGAACACCAAUUGCGAAGGCAGCUCGCUGGGACGUUACUGACGCUGGAGACGCGAAAGCGUGGGGAGCAAACAGG
rnacentral:rRNA from 1 species